rnacentral:rRNA from 1 species
UACGGAGGGGGCAAGCGUUAUCCGGAUUCACUGGGGUUAAAGGGUGCGUAGGCGGACAGGUAAGUCAGUGGUGAAAUCUCAGAGCUUAACUCGGAAACUGCCUUUGAUACUCUCUGUCUUGAAUAUGGUGGAGGUAAGCGGAAUAUGUCAUGUGGCGGUGAAAUGCUUAGAGAUGACAUAGAACACCUAUUGCGAAGGCAGCUUACUACGCCUAUAUUGACGCUGAGGCGCGAAAGCGUGGGGAGCAAACAGG